UACGGAGGGUGCAAGCGUUAUCCGGAUUUAUUGGGUUUAAAGGGUCCGUAGGCGGAAUAGCAAGUCAGAGGUGAAAGCCCACAGCUUAACUGUGGAACUGCCUUUGAUACUGCCUUUCUUGAGUAUAGUUGAAGUGGGCGGAAUGUGCGGUGUAGCGGUGAAAUGCAUAGAUAUCGCACAGAACACCUAUCGCGAAGGCAGCUCACUAAACUAUUACUGACGCUCAGGGACGAAAGCGUGGGGAGCAAACAGG
rnacentral:rRNA from 1 species